GACGUCAAGUCAUCAUGGCCCUUACGGCCAGGGCUACACACGUGCUACAAUGGUCGGUACAAAGGGUUGCUACCUAGCGAUAGGAUGCUAAUCUCAAAAAGCCGAUCGUAGUCCGGAUUGGAGUCUGCAACUCGACUCCAUGAAGUCGGAAUCGCUAGUAAUCGCGGAUCAGAAUGCCGCGGUGAAUACGUUCCCGGGCCUUGUACACACCGCCCGUCACACCAUGGGAGUUUGUUGCACCAGAAGUAGGUAGUCUAACCGCAAGGAGGACGCUUACCACGGUGUGGCCGAUGACUGGGGUGAAGUCGUAACAAGGUAGCCGUAGAU
rnacentral:rRNA from 1 species